rnacentral:lncRNA from 1 species
CCCCAAGUCCUUCACGGUAUCAAGGCACUCGAAAUAACCCCACCUAUCCUUAUCAACACCAACCUUAGUGAUUUUGACAUCUUUGUAAUGCCAGUGUGGCUCCCUGGCGAAAACCCCAUGGUGAUGAACAAGCACACUGAAACUCAUCCUACAAAAUGCAUAACAACACAUGUAAAGAACAAGCAAUGGUGAUGAACAAACAGGCAUAGUGUCAAGCAUCACUAAACCCAAAUCGCACACAAAUACCCUAAAAUAGCAACAAUCCGAUUCAACUCCAAAAUAGAAACCAAGUAAAAACAGCACACAACUCGCAAACCUGGAAAUCUUCUUUCGUCGUCGCAGCCUCUGUCCGGUUCGUGCUUUGUCCUCAUAUCAUCGAAUCACCUUACCCAGAUCGCAGCCUUGUCUCCUUGUUCUUCGUGUUCGUCGAGGAAUGAAAAAGGGCAAGGGAGAGGGAUGAGAUUCGGACGAAAAUAAUAACAGAAAGGAUAAGAUGUUGAUUUUGUUGUUUACAGUUAAUUUGGGAUUUAGGGUUAAUUAGGAAUUUAUGGUUAAUUUGGGAUUUAGGGUUAAUUGUGUAAUUAUUUAAGUCUUUUUAUCAAUAAAAAACUAGAAAUUUGUAAAAAGUAAAAGUGACAAAUAUAUUUUUUUUAUAUUUAUUAUUUUUUCUAAAAUAAUAAUUUUUCAUCAAUUAAAUUCAUUUUAUUAAACUCCCGUUUUGUUAUUUAUUUCAUAUAUACAUUACUAAGACUCCACAAUGAGGUCAGCCGCCAUUUCUGAGGGUGUAUUUUUUCCGCUAAUAACACCAAAUGUGCAAAAGGAAACAACCUACUUUUAAACUAACAAUCCACUUAUUAAGGGGAAAAGGUGAUGUGAACUUUAAUAUAUUUUUAAACUGUAUUUUAUCAAAUAAUCACAAAAGGAAGCAUGGUUUGGGACUUCACUUUUUCAACUAACAUAAGUAGGUGGUGGCUAUCACUUGUUUUUAAGGCCGGUAUCACUACAAGUGUUUUUUAACCUGUUAUAGGUGAAUGCAAGGAAACUCAGGGUACAUUUCAUAAUUAUAAUAAACUUACGGCCAAAUUCAAAAAUAUGAAUACUUUGGGUAGCUGAUUUGGAAUAGUAUAAAGUUGUAGUAUUUGUGUGCGAUUGAGGGCGAUAGUUGCAUUAGAAGAGUGUAAAAUAACCAGUUAAUACAUAAUACCUUACAAAUAGCAAAUGAAUCCAAAAUUAAGUUCGGACAAACUUUUGAUAGUAAAUGCUAUGGUUGUAUUUGAAAUGUGGGUACUGGGUAGGUAGACAAAACCCCCAAAAGGAAAUUCUCCAAUGUCCCAACAAUGAUGUUCUCCCUCUCACUCUAUAGUCCUGAAGUAUCCCUUUUAGUUUACCUCUUAUAAUUAUUAAUAGAAAAAUCAAGCUCCAAAUUCUGAUUAAUGGACUUUGGGUAUUCAUGAUAAUAUUAAGAAUAUAAAAUGCUUUCUUAAUCAACAUAUCUAUUGCCGACCGCCGUAAUUAAUUCUUCGUCAAGGGUGUUCGCAAUAAGCAGUAAACAAUGAUAUAAAAUGUGCUUCAUUCUCAUGUAUGAGGAUCAAAUCACUUACCCCAUGGUUGAAGGAAGAUGUGAGCAACCACCACGCCACACCUCACAGUUAUAUACAAUGUUUUUUUUUUAUUUGGCAUGCAACUUACAACAUGUGUGAGUCCACUUUUAAUUCUUCUCAAAUCACCUCUUCCUCCAUAAAGCUACUUUUAGAAGUUUUCUCCGUAAUCACUUACAAAAACAGAAUUAGACAGCAUUUGAAGGGGGUGUAUGUUUGCUUUUCCGUUUCAGUCACACUAGCGCAUUUUCAACGCAAAAACAUGUUCCUAAGUGAACUUGAAAGAGGGUGUUGGCUUCCGUUCGAUGGGCGUUGGUUCACAUUCGAUUGUCAAACACAUACUAUACUACUAAAGAACAACUUUUCUCUUGGGGGCGAUAGUCCCAUUUCAACCCUCCCAGAGUCUCCCUGAUCACUUAUGAUCUAAACAAGGUUUCCAAACAUCCACUAAGCCUUAGCUUAAAACACAAACUUGGAAACCUAUAAGUUUUCCAAAAAUCCACUUAGCCUUGGCUUAAAGAGUCAUCAUAAUUCAAUAGUUCAUUGUUUAAUCAAUUCAGAAUUUGUGAGCCGUUGAUACAUGGAGAAAUGAGGAGUUUGUUCCAUUGAAGUCAGAAGUUCUGUAGUACAACAAUUAAACCAACAAUGUUGUCCUUAGCCUAUUUGUCCAACCAACUUUUAUAUUAUCAGGCUAAUUUUCUCUUCUAUACAAUUUCCACCUAUUUUAUCUCCUUAUUUCCCAUUUGUGUCUCUCUUAGGGUGGUAUAUUUUGGGUAUCAAUGAAAUUUUUCCUUGUCCCACAACUCCACUGAAACACUUACUCACGGUGUUGGGCUAUAGCAAAAAAUGCAGUUACAUGUCCCACUAAAUGGCCAUGACCAUGAUUGUGCUUGUGUAGAGCUAAACUUCACACAUAAGUCCAUGUUGUUCAAUUAUUGCAUUUUAUGUGCAUAAGGACAUGCACAUACAUAUGAUUAUGGAACAAACAUGUUGUGUAUGCGCCUUCCACUCUUUUAUAGAACAAACAUAUUGUCCUUUCCCCAACUGCCCUCAUCACGCAUGCGUGUCUUUAACCACAGCAACAUCACCACUAUUUUCUAAAAUCAUUAUGUGAUGCAGAGACAUUACAUCUAGAGGCAUUUUAGCAUUUACGGAGAUAAAAAAAAAGCAUGGAGGGUUCUAGAAGCAUUGACUUGAUCGAGUGUGUUUGUAUUUCUAUCAGAACACGUUCCAAUGUUAUUUGAAAGUGCUUUUAGCUAAUUCAUAUCUAUUGUGUGCCUGUUUGGAUACCCAACCUCAACCAGCUUUCACUCAACUGAACUCUCACCCUCCUUUCACGUUUGAUGCUUAGGAAUGUGUUUUUAUCUUGGAACGUGUGCUAACAUGGUUUGAACAGAAAAACAAACACACACUGUAUCAUUAGAGUGAAUGUGUUUUUAGCCGACUUGAACAGAAAUACAAACACACACUCUAUAUUAUUUAAUUUUGUGGAAAUAAAUGUUGAUUCAAAGAAGAUCACCUUUUACUAAUACCACAUAUAAUGGAUGAGCAUCAGAUCACAAUCCUUUCAUGUGACGGUCAAAACUUCCCUGACAUGUAAUGUUAAAAUUUUGUGUUUACCUCUCUUUUUAUAUGUUUUAAAUAGGUGAAAUUCUUUUAAUAUUUAUGAAGAAAUGGAUACAUAUUAAUAUAUUAUACAUAAUAUUUCACUUGACACACAUGUGAUAUGAGAUUAUCAUAAAGCACUCUUCCUAUUCUAUAUUUUCUUUUAUAUUUGUAACUCAAACGAAAUCCCAUUGAAAGAUUCCCAUUAAAAAGGCUAAGAUUAUAAAAUCAAUAUUCCAUAAUAUUCUCAUUAAAAACUCGAAGUCUUAACUUUUCAAGCUUCACGCUACUCAAGGAACCUAUUGGAUUGGAUUAGAGACCGAAAGAAAGUAUGAGAUAGAGGGAGAAUGAGAAAGAGAAAGGAAGAGCAGUACCUCAUCUUUAGUCUUUAUUUUUGGCAGAAUGCAAAGCUGGCGCAUAUCCUACUCAAAAAAUAAUGAAGUUGCUCCAAUUCCCUCCUAGUAACUAGAAACCAAAACAAGGGAAAAGAAUAGUGAAUGAUAUUGUAUAAGUGCAUAUAAAAAAUGAUACAUGCAGACCACAGUGCCCAACAAAUGAAUUAAUGUAUGGAAUCCACAUUUUUUUUUUGUACUUUAAUAUGAAAAUCAUUGAAGGAAAAGUUAAGCCAGUAUUCCAUAACUAAUCAUUUCUUCUUUAGUACAUCAAAAGUCAAAACACCUCCAACUCAAACCAACAUAGCUUCACCUUCUUGUAUUGUUAAUGCAAUUAAAAAAAAAUACUGUACAUUGUGCAAUGUAUACCUAUUAAAUUUAAUUCUCCUAGAUACUUAGAAAUGGAAAAGCUGGUAUAGACAUUUAUAGAGUUUCAUGGUUGCUUGUAUUGCGGCUUAUUAGGUGAUAACUUAAUUUUAUCAGUCAAUCCUCAAAAUGUUUUUCUCUGUAAUACAUAUAGCUAAUUUUCACCAUGUUUGGAUUUACUUUUAAUUCUCACAUGAUCAUUUUUUCCUAUGUAAAAACUACUUAUAAUAGCUUAUUCCAGAAUCAUUUAUCCCCCAAAUGAGAAAAUCUAUUAAAUUUACAAACAUGCACUCUGUGAAUGUGGACGAUCCACUCUACCUUUCAUUUCUACUUUUCUAAUCUAAAGGAAAUUUCUGGCAACUUUUCCAUAUCUAAACAUGUUCCGGUAUGGAACCUCAGACUUAGGCUAAUCAAACUGAGAGCGAGCGAAGUAAUGAAAAACUAAGAAAAUGCGUAAAAUCAUAGGUCCCUCCACCGCUUGGGUGGAGCCUUUAUUUAUAGCUUGGGUUUUAGUCUGAAUAGAACAUGGGUGACCCGGCCCAUUAAGUACAGAAUAUUGGGUUAGCCCAAUUACACGAUAACUUGGUUCGCCCAUAUCAGACCAAAACAAAUACAAUCAAUACCUGAUGUCAAUCUCCUUCAUUACUUCCAAACAGUACUUUACAUUUUAUCCUUUUUCUUCCCUAUUAAACAGUCAAUAUUAGCAUGACCAAAUGAUCUCACACAUGGAACCACCCACCCUUUUUCCUCCUACAAACUGCCACAGGUUAAUUUUAGCACCACAGAACAUGGAGUCAAUGAAACAAAAUUAAAAACAAGCAGCACAUUAUAGCAUAUUUGGAAAUUCUUCUAAAAUUGAUUCUAAAGACAAAAUUAAUAUUGGAGAGAAGCUUCUAAGUGUCCAAAUUAAUUGAUUCCGGGAAAAGAGAAGCUUAUUUGAGCAUAUCAUAUAUCUAAGUAGCCAACAACCAGGUGAAAGAAGAAAGCAGAUAAAGACAAAGCAUGCACAAUCACUAUAGAAAAUCAAAAGUUAAUAGCACAAUUUAACAGUACCAAAUCUCUUAACAAAUUUUAUGUUCCACAAACUACCUUUCCAUCUUGCUGGAAAUCACCACUACUCCAUUCUACCCCUUUGAGGAAAAUACCAUCAUCACUCUUAACUCCCACAAAAAAGAUGUAGGCUCCUUUCUUUCAACUCCCCCCCUCUCCUCCUUCUCUCUUCUCACUCUCUCUCUUACUCAGAUAUAUCAAUCCAAAUACUAAACUACAAAAACAGAAACUCCCCCAUUCAAUUAUUUCAACAGUGCUCACACCAAUGUACCUUUUCCUCUCUACAGGUUCCCUAGACCCAACCAAAUAAAUCCCACCACAUUCCCCAACAUUCCCAUUACAACUGAAACCUCAGUUGCCAACCAGAACACACACACACACAAACAACAAUGUCAUCCACAAAAUUUGCACAACUACAACUACAAGCCACCAUGGUCAUGGUGCUUCUUCUGUUGCUGUUGAGCAUUCUAACCACCUCUACUUCCACUCCAACUUCAUCAUCACCUUCCCAUCAUAACCUGACAUACCCUCAUUUUCAGCAGCUCAAUGUGAAAGCAAUCAUUGCAGAAACUAAACUGAACCCGAAACCAAAGCCUACUAAAAUACCCAAACAACCCCAUAAACAGCAAAACCUCAACACAGAGUCUGAGAGUGAAGGAUCAGGAAAAUUGAAACUGAAGCUAAUUCACAGAGAUAAAAUCAGCACCUUCAACACUUCCCGUGAUCAUCGCAGCCGAUUCAAAGCACGAAUGCAGAGAGACGCCAAAAGGGUCGCCGCCGUUGCCCGCCGCCUCGCAAUCGCCGCCGGGUACGAAACAGAGGCUUUCGGGUCGGACGUGGUUUCGGGC